UGGAUUUCACGUCGAGGCGUUGCCUCAACUAAAGUCAUGCCCACAUUAGGAGGGAGAGCGUCGGUUGCAGAGAGGAAGGAGGUCGUUGCGAUUGUCACGAGAGAGAAAUAUGUCUUGAGGUGAGACUUGAAGUCCACAGACUCUUUGACCCUCGAUCCCAGCAGAGCUCCCAGCAUGGCGUCUGCAGACACCCUCACCCUCUUCAGCGCAGGUCUCUUCAUCUUACCUUUCAUCUCAAAGAUUUUCUGGGACAGGUCUUGUAUCUUUUUUUAAGUACAAAUACCAAACCAAUUAUUUUACGUUGGAUAUAAAAUCUGUAUAGAUUCCUGGAUGCAGAUACUUCCAAAGAUGCUUUUAAUUAACAUAAAAAGAUACUGAAAAACUUACCUCUUUGUCAUUUAUUGUCACUUUAGCUGCAAGAUCAUAGCGCUCCUCGUCAACCUUAUCAAUUUUUUUGUGCAAAUCUUUGCAAAAAGUCUGCAGACAGAAAGACAAUGUCUCACAUAUGUUCCUACUAACAGUUUAAAUGUUAUUUUCAGGAACCUUUAAUAAACCUUUCUGUUUUUGCAGUUAAAAGACACAGCUGUCUGACAUUGUGCAAUGCUCUAACACAACUCGGCUUACACUUCGACAAGGAAUGUACAUGUAGGCUUUGUAGUUGUUUAAUUUUUUGGGCAGUUUAUAGGCAAAAAAAGAGGUCCUUUGUAAAUAAGACGUUUUGAAAUACUUUACCUGUAAUUCUUGCAAAGACAGUCCUGACAGCUGAAGGCCUGGCACUCUCUCAGCGAGAACCCUCUCUCGCUCACUUGCUUUGGCCUGCUUUUCACUUUCCAGCAUCGUCAUGGCUUUCUUAAGCAGUUUUGUCUGGCGUAAAGAAAAAAAAAAUAAGAUCACACAUCAAAUGCAUUGAAAAAGUUUUUCCAAAUUGAUGUAAACCAACUAGUAGCAUGAAAUACCUUCAAGAACAAUCGGCGGGAUGCAGAUAUUUUGGGCUUUGGUUUCUGAAAAAGAUUGGAAUGUGUCAAGUCUUAACAUUUUUACUUUUUGCAUAUUAAAAAAAAAGGGGUCCCUCUCAUUUUAACCAUUGUAGAAAAGUAGUAUUACUCACCGCCCUGUAUGUUGGAAUGGUGUGCACAAUGUGAAAGAGAAAAGAAUAUGCUUUUAUUACAGGACCUUAACCUUAAAUACUAGUUGGUUCAAUUAUGAUCAGCAUAUCUAGUACUUACGCUUCAGACAUGGUGGCAACUCUGUGUUCUCCCUUGUUAUACCUAAAGGGGCAAAAAUAAACUAAAUAAAUAAAAAAUGUCAGUAUUUUUGCAAAAUAAAAAUAGUAAAAUGUAUUUUUUUGUGAAAGAAAUGUGUAAUAAACACUAAAAAAGUCUAAAAAGUGCUCUUGAAAAUUAUUUCUGACCUAGAGUUUCGUGUCAGCAGAAAGUCACAAGAUGAUAAAUACAUUAUUUUAGUUGAUAAGAUUUUAAACAGAACACGAAAAGUCACUCUAACAAUAAAAGGGGAAGAUUAAAUACAUUAAAACUUGUUGUUAUCCAUUCUAAAUAAAAUAAUUAGCUAGUAUAACAAAAGCUUCAAAAAGAUGCUGUACAUUUUUGUAGAAAACAGUCUCCUUACCUUCAACUGUAAUUGACAAAUACACAGAGACUUCUUUGUCUGAGUUAAGAAGGGAUGAAGGAGGGGAGAUAUAUAGAUCCCAGGGCUCAUGUGAGUGGCUCACCAAAAUAGACCCUCUGUCUUCACCAUUCUUGCGCUACGUCUGUCAUAUCCCUCUUGUAUGGGGUGUCAAAGUUCUUGCUGGCAACUGUUCAUCCAUGAUGCUUUCUUAGUGCCUCCUUCUAUUUGCUAAAGAUGAAAAAAAUCAGAAGAUUUUUUUUUAAACUGCCUUGGUUUAUGAUUUAAGAUUAAUACAAAAUUUGUGAUAGAGAUGCACAACAGCAGAUGCUGAAAAAUGCUUCAAACACAUUUGCAACAAUAAAAAAAACAAAAAAACUCUUGAUUUAUUUCCUUUAAAUGUCUUUAAUAGUCACACACAUUUUGAUUGUCAAACAUCUGAGUUUGCCAUAGCAGGUAACAGUCAAGUAGCUGGUAAAAUAAGAAGAGAUCAUAAGACAAAUGAUCAAGAAUUAUGCUGCCAUCUUAAGGUUACAAAGGAGAACUGCUCCAUGUUCAAACUAACACCUCUUCAAACAUUUAUGUCAAGCCAAUACUCUCUCAAACUCUACUAUAAUAACUGUCUUUUAUAAUACAAAUGUAUUUAUUUAUUUGCAUUUUCAAUAUAUUUUGCUAUUUCCAAAGAUAAUUCAAGUAAAUUCUAUAAAGGGAGUUUUGAAAAACAAGAUUAAAUUAAGGUUUUCAAUUUAAGGCUUUGACAGUCUAUAGAAAAUGUGAAAAUUUAAAUAUUCUGUAAAAAUAAAUUAUUAUUGUUGUGUCACAGAUUUUUGUUCAUGUUGCAUCAGAUCUGUGUGUUUCUUUUAGUUGCCAGAAGCAUCAAAUAGUUUCUUUCUGCCCUCCAUGCCAGACAUGGCUUCCACAUUCUUGCGCCAGUCAGUGACCUCCUCUUUCUGUUUGGAGAAAUGAAAAAAUGAUAUCACAGGUUGGCCUUGAAGUCGAAGGACUCUUUGUGCUUGGAGCCCAGCAGAACGCUCAGCAUGGCUUCAGCGGAGAUCUUUACUCUCUUCAGCAUCUGGGUGGCGACCGCCAACAGCCUGAUCUAAAGAGCAGGAUAAGGAAUGGUAUAGGAUGUUAUUUACCAUUUGUUUGGGUCCCAAAUUUACAAAGAAAAUCUCUAAAUAUCAUAAACCUUUAAUGUUUUGGUCAAACACAAAGUAUUAACAAUCUUUUGAGCUUAUACGUCAAACAAUCAAUUUUUGAAUGAAUAAAAUUAUGCAGAAAAUUUUCAGAAGUUAAAUUGAAACUCAUACUUUUAACCCCAGUCGUCGAGAUGAGGAAAUUUUCGAUUUUCUCUGCAAUUCACAAAUAAAAUUAAGUUAAAAGUUAUUACAAAUCCAUUUAGCAUAUAAAGUCUAAUAAACCAUCAUGAAACAGAUACUUACCGGUCUUUUGGGUCAAUAGGUCAAGAAAGAAAACAUACAUUUUAUGAGAAAAAAGUAAGAUUCCAAACACAUUUAUUUGAUGUUUAAAAUUCUUUGAAUGAAAAAGAAAAAUCAAGGGAGAUGGUACUUACCCAUCCGUCAUGUUUGCCUUAAAGUUUUACCUUAAUGGAACAUAAAAAUGAAAUUUUUUAAACAUCCACUUUUCAUUAACUUAUUUUCCAAACUCCCUUCAUAAAUAAAGUUCUUUUUAUUCCUUGAGAUUCCAGUGAUCAUUAAAAGGAAAAUGCAAUAUAUAAAUAUUUUCUCACUAUAUUAAAGAAGACAAAAUUGCUCAUUUAACACAGUUUUAUAUCUGCAUGGUUCUUGUGAAGUUUGAAAAAUGCUGAAACGGUGCAUGUGAUAAAUAAUUACGAGGUGACAAGAAGAUAAAUGACCAGAUAAUCCAA